UCCGAAUGGGGCAACCCAAUCAGCUUAGUCGCUGAUUACUUGACUAGUGAAUACAUAGCUAGCAAGAGGUAGACGCAGUGAACUGAAACAUCUUAGUAGCUGCAGGAAGAGAAAGAAAGAUCGAUUCCCUGAGUAGCGGCGAGCGAAAGGGGAAGAGCCCAAACCAACAAGCUUGCUUGUUGGGGUUGUAGGACUGAACAUUAGAGUUACCAAAGUGCGACGUAGUCGCAACAGUUG
rnacentral:rRNA from 1 species